rnacentral:rRNA from 1 species
GACGUAGGGGGCGAGCGUUGUCCGGAUUCAUUGGGCGUAAAGCGCGCGUAGGCGGCCCGGUAAGUCGGGUGUGAAAUCCUGGGGCUCAACCCCAGGACUGCACUCGAUACUGUCGGGCUAGAGGUAGGUAGGGGAGAUCGGAAUUCCUGGUGUAGCGGUGAAAUGCGCAGAUAUCAGGAGGAACACCGGUGGCGAAGGCGGGUCUCUGGGCCGAUACUGACGCUGAGGAGCGAAAGCGUGGGGAGCGAACAGG